AAACCUGCUUCAUACAACACGAGACAACUACAUCCGGAAUUGUUAUUUCAGCAAAGAUGAAACUUGUAAUGCUGUUCCUGUGUCUGGCUGUUUUUGUGGAUGCGGUAUCUGCUGAGCCGAGUGCUAGAUCUCUGACUGAAAGAGAAUUGGGCUAUGGAGAUGACUUGAGUGAUGACGGCAGUGAGAAAUUCACAACUCCAGGAGAUGUAGAUGUGGAUGGAUUUCUGCGAAAAAUUAA